rnacentral:rRNA from 1 species
UACGAAGGGGGCUAGCGUUGCUCGGAAUCACUGGGCGUAAAGGGUGCGUAGGCGGGUCUUUAAGUCAGGGGUGAAAUCCUGGAGCUCAACUCCAGAACUGCCUUUGAUACUGAGGAUCUUGAGUUCGGGAGAGGUGAGUGGAACUGCGAGUGUAGAGGUGAAAUUCGUAGAUAUUCGCAAGAACACCAGUGGCGAAGGCGGCUCACUGGCCCGAUACUGACGCUCAUGUACGAAAGCGUGGGGAGCAAACAGG